rnacentral:rRNA from 1 species
GGAAGGGAAACCGGAAUUCCUGGGGUACGCGGUGAAAUGCGUAGAAAUCAGGAGGAACACCAGUGGCGAAGCCGGCUUUCUGGUCCGGAAUUGACGCUGAGGUACUAAAGCGUGGGUAGCAAACAGGAUUAGAUACCCUGGUAGUCCACGCCCUAAACGAUGGAUACUUGAUGUCGGGAUGUUCGGUCGUCUCGGUGUCGUAGCUAACGUGUUAAGUAUCCCGCCUGGGGACUACGGUCGCAAGACUGGAACUCAAAGGAAUUGACGGGGGCCCGCACCAGCGGUGGAACAUGUGGUUUAAUUCGAUGCAACGCGAAGAACCUUACCUGGGCUUGACAUAUAUAUGAAGUAUGUAAGAAAUUAUGUAUUCUGUUUGUUUUUUCAGACAGCAUAUAUACAGGUGAUGCAUGGCUGUCGUCAGCUCGUGUCGUGAGAUGUAGGGUUAAGUCCCUUAACGAGCGCAACCCUUGCUUUUAGUUGCCAUCAGGUAAUGCUGGGGACUCUAGAAGGACUGCCGAGGUUAACUCGGAGGAAGGUGGGGAUGACGUCAAGUCAGUAUGUCCCUUAUGUCCAGGGCUACACACGUGUUACAAUGGACGGUACAGAGUGCAGCUACGCCGUGAGGCUACGCAAAUCACUUAAAGCCGUUCCCAGUUCGGAUUGGAGUCUGCAAUUCGACUCCAUGAAGUUGGAAUCGCUAGUAAUCGCAGCACAGCAUGCUGCGGUGAAUACGUUCCCGGGCCUUGUACACACCGCCCGUCACGCCAUGGAAGUUGGGAGUACCCAAAGUUGC